UACGUAGGGGGCCAGCGUUGUUCGGAAUUACUGGGUGUAAAGGGUUCGUAGGCGGUGCGGCAAGUUGGGAGUGAAAUCUCUGGGCUCAACCCAGAGACGGCUUCCAAAACUGCUGUGCUUGAGUGUGAGAGAGGCUCGUGGAAUUGCAGGUGUAGCGGUGAAAUGCGUAGAUAUCUGCAGGAACACCCGUGGCGAAAGCGGCGAGCUGGAUCACUACUGACGCUGAGGCACGAAAGCGUGGGGAGCAAACAGG
rnacentral:rRNA from 1 species